AGUAAAAUUGAAAAGACACGAUCGAAUCUAACCAACGACGUUUAGUUUGGAGAAAUCAACUCAGUUCAGUGGGAGCAAAUGCUUACUUCGGCUUGAAUAACAGCUACAGCAAUCCUCUUGUCCACUUGUGAAUCAUAGGUAGAGAAGAUCAUGUAGGCCACAUUUGUGAACCUAGGAAAAGCAACCUCUUCAACUAACCUCAAAUUAAUCAAUCAAGAUGGAUCGAUCCCCAGAAAGACUUUGAUAUGUGAAUCAGCUUGUGCAUUUGUCGAAUAAAAUAUUCAGACUUUCUGCAGAUCUGAACCAGACUUGUCUAAUUGGGAAAACUAUUGUUGUUUACUUACAGAAGGAGUGUCUGACAUACCAUGGUAGUGUCAUGUAGUUAGUUUCAGAACUAGUUGGCUGUUUGUUGCCUAACCUGUUUGCUGCUCACCUGGUUAUUAGAUAUCUCUGCAAAGAAUAAAAAAAGUAUUAGCUUUGACCAAGGCGCAAAUCCAUCCAAUAGAAAACACCAUUCGUGCAAGUGCAAUCCUAUGUCUGUUGUUCUGUGAAUCACCACGAACAGGAGCAACAAUUUUUCGCAAAAGAUUUGCACGAACUGGAGCAACAAAACCAUGCUAAAUCAUCCAGUCAUUCUUGACAGUUGACAGGACACAGUGACACUAUGUCUUGCACAUGGUAAUCAGGCAAUCAGCUGACCUUCACUUCACCCAAGCACUAGCAUCCAUGAUGGUUUGACAGGAUGACACAUUGCACCAGGUGUCACCUUCCAUCCCAAGCAAGCAAGCACCUUUCAUCCACCUCCCCUUUUCUUCUCCCUUCUCAGCACGAUCUGAAAUCUGAAUAACACAAACAGUGCAGAAAAUCUGAACCAUGCGGCAGGGAAGCUAGCAAAUUUCAGUUCUUUAUCAGUGAUUGAUCACUGUUUCUUACAGAGAGCGCGCGCCAUGCUGCCUUCCAUGAAGCUCCCGC
rnacentral:lncRNA from 1 species